rnacentral:tRNA from 1 species
GGAACUGUGUCUGAAUAUAGAAUUACUUUGAUAGAGUAAAACAAAGAGGUUAAAAUCCUCUCAAUUCC